rnacentral:rRNA from 1 species
UACGUAGGGGGCAAGCGUUGUCCGGAUUUAUUGGGCGUAAAGAGCGUGUAGGCGGCCAUGCAGGUCAGCUGUGAAAACUCGAGGCUCAACCUCGAGACGUCGGUUGAAACCGUAUGGCUAGAGUCCGGAAGAGGAGAGUGGAAUUCCCGGUGUAGCGGUGAAAUGCGCAGAUAUCAGGAGGAACACCAAUGGCGAAGGCAGCACUCUGGGACGUGACUGACGCUGAGACGCGAAAGCGUGGGGAGCAAACAGG